rnacentral:rRNA from 1 species
GGCUCAGGAUGAACGCUAGCGGCAGGCUUAAUACAUGCAAGUCGUGGGGCAGCAUGAGUAGCAAUACUUGAUGGCGACCGGCAAACGGGUGAGGAACACGUACACAACCUUCCUUCAAGCGGGGAAUAGCCCAGAGAAAUUUGGAUUAAUACCCCAUAAUAUAUUUGAUAAGGCAUCUUAUUAAUAUUAAAAGCUUCGGCACUUGAUGAUGGGUGUGCGGCUGAUUAGAUAGUUGGCGGGUAACGGCCCACCAAGUCUACGAUCAGUAGCUGAUGUGAGAGCAUGAUCAGCCACACGGGCACUGAGACACGGGCCCGACUCCUACGGGAGGCAGCAGUAAGGAAUAUUGGACAAUGGACGAAAGUCUGAUCCAGCCAUGCCGCGUGAAGGAUUAAGGUCCUCUGGAUUGUAAACUUCUUUUAUAUGGGACGAAAAAAGGGCAUUCUUGUUCACUUGACGGUACCAUAUGAAUAAGCACCGGCUAACUCCGUG